GUUAUAAUCACACUUUGAUUUUAAGAGAUUCAAAAUAAACUUGGGGCAGAUUCUUUCGAUAGCAAAAUCAACUCGUUCUGCUGCAACAUAUUAAGACAUGGCUGAACGGAAACAAACUCGAAUCACUCCAAGUGAGAGUUCUGGAUAUCGAACAAAGAGAUAAAGUGGAAGAGCACGCUAUCGAAGGACAUGUUUUUGAGGUCGUGAGAUCAUAUGAAAUGUUGUCCCCAGGACGACACAAAAUUUGUUACAGAAUUAGAGGGCUAUAGAAGGAAAAGAGAGAAGAAACUAAAAGAGUUCAAGCCUUUUAAGAUGUCACCUAGUAUUAUGGUUGCUAAUUUUAUUAAUUUAUUUGAAUUAAAACGUGUAGAUGCAGAAAAUUAUGUAGAAAUCUCGCAUUGGGAAGCAUUAGCUAUUUAAGAAAAUUCUCUCCGUGAUCCUUGAGGCGAGAGAUUAAUUAAUGCCUACCAAGAUUUUGUCCUAGAGAGCCUUUUUAGGUGUACAUAAGUCGUCUCAAGUAUUUGUGGGAUGACUUUUAUCUUUAAAUUGACAUGUAACUUGAAGUUCUUUAU